rnacentral:rRNA from 1 species
AAAAGAACCCCGGCGAGGGGAGUGAAAAAGAACCUGAAACCGUGUACGUACAAGCAGUGGGAGCCUCUUAAUGGGGUGACUGCGUACCUUUUGUAUAAUGGGUCAGCGACUUAUAUUCUGUAGCAAGGUUAACCGAAUAGGGGAGCCGAAGGGAAACCGAGUCUUAACUGGGCGUUAAGUUGCAGGGUAUAGACCCGAAACCCGGUGAUCUAGCCAUGGGCAGGUUGAAGGUUGGGUAACACUAACUGGAGGACCGAACCGACUAAUGUUGAAAAAUUAGCGGAUGACUUGUGGCUGGGGGUGAAAGGCCAAUCAAACCGGGAGAUAGCUGGUUCUCCCCGAAAGCUAUUUAGGUAGCGCCUCGUGAAUUCAUCUCCGGGGGUAGAGCACUGUUUCGGCAAGGGGGUCAUCCCGACUUACCAACCCGAUGCAAACUGCGAAUACCGGAGAAUGUUAUCACGGGAGACACACGGCGGGUGCUAACGUCCGUCGUGAAGAGGGAAACAACCCAGACCGCCAGCUAAGGUCCCAAAGUCAUGGUUAAGUGGGAAACGAUGUGGGAAGGCCCAGACAGCCAGGAUGUUGGCUUAGAAGCAGCCAUCAUUUAAAGAAAGCGUAAUAGCUCACUGGUCGAGUCGGCCUGCGCGGAAGAUGUAACGGGGCUAAACCAUGCACCGAAGCUGCGGCAGCGACACUAUGUGUUGUUGGGUAGGGGAGCGUUCUGUAAGCCUGUGAAGGUGGCCUGUGAGGG